UCCUGCAUCUGAAAGUAACCAGGGGUUAUAUAUGUACUGAUCAUUGCCAGUGCAGGGAGAGGAGUUACUGAAAGAAGUUUUUCCUAUCUUUGGAGGGUCCAUCCUGUCCCUUCUGAAACCUGAUGUGUUCAUACU